CCUACGGGAGGCUGCAGUGGGGAAUAUUGGACAAUGGGCGCAAGCCUGAUCCAGCCAUGCCGCGUGAGUGAUGAAGGCCUUCGGGUUGUAAAGCUCUUUUGUCCGGGAAGAUAAUGACUGUACCGGAAGAAUAAGCCCCGGCAAACUUCGUGCCAGCAGCCGCGGUAAUACGAAGGGGGCUAGCGUUGUUCGGAUUUACUGGGCGUAAAGCGCACGUAGGCGGCUUGUUAAGUCAGGGGUGAAAUCCCGGAGCUCAACUCCGGAACUGCCUUUGAUACUGGCAAGCUCGAGUGUGGAAGAGGUUGGUGGAACUGCGAGUGUAGAGGUGAAAUUCGUAGAUAUUCGCAAGAACACCAGUGGCGAAGGCGGCCAACUGGUCCAUUACUGACGCUGAGGUGCGAAAGCGUGGGGAGCAAACAGGAUUAGAUACCCCAGUAGUC
rnacentral:rRNA from 1 species